rnacentral:rRNA from 1 species
CUCUGGAGAGACUGCCGGUGUUAAACCGGAGGAAGGUGGGGAUGACGUCAAGUCCUCAUGGCCUUUAUGCCUAGGGCUGCACACGUCCUACAAUGCAACGGACAAAGCGAUGCUAACUCGCGAGAGUACGCAAACCGCAUAAACCGUUGCCCAGUUCGGAUUGCAGGCUGAAAUUCGCCUGCAUGAAGCCGGAAUCGCUAGUAAUCGUAGGUCAGCAUACUACGGUGAAUGUGUUCCUGAGCCUU